AGCGAACGCUGGCGGCAGGCCUAACACAUGCAAGUCGAACGGAUCCUUCGGGAUUAGUGGCGGACGGGUGAGUAACACGUGGGAACGUGCCCUUUGGUUCGGAACAACUCAGGGAAACUUGAGCUAAUACCGGAUGUGCCCUUCGGGGGAAAGAUUUAUCGCCAUUGGAGCGGCCCGCGUCUGAUUAGCUAGUUGGUGAGGUAAAGGCUCACCAAGGCGACGAUCAGUAGCUGGGAUGAGAGGAUGAUCAGCCACAUUGGGACUGAGACACGGCCCAAACUCCUACGGGAGGCAGCAGUGGGGAAGCUUGCGCAAUGGGCGAAAGCCUGACGCAGCCAUGCCGCGUGAAUGAUGAAGGUCUUAGGAUUGUAAAAUUCUUUCACCGGGGACGAUAAUGACGGUACCCGGAGGAAAAGCCCCGGCUAACUUCGUGCCAGCAGCCGCCGCAGUAA
rnacentral:rRNA from 1 species